GAAUCUGUUCGUUGGUCGGGCUUCACUGUCCGUACUGGCGUGAUGGGUUCUUACCUUCUGAAUAACCAGCAUGCCAUUCAUUUGGUGCGUUGGGGAAGCAGGACUAUUACCUUGAAAAAAUUAGAGUGCUCAAAGCAGGCUAGUGCCUGAAUACAUUAGCAUGGAAUAAUAAAAUAGGACGGCAUGGUUCUAUUUUGUUGGUUUCUAGGAUCACCGUA
rnacentral:rRNA from 1 species